CUAAGUUUGAUGGCGACCGGCGCACGGGUGAGUAACACGUAUCCAACCUGCCGAUGACUCGGGGAUAGCCUUUCGAAAGAAAGAUUAAUACCCGAUGGCAUAGUUCUUCCGCAUGGUAGACUAUUAAAGAAUUUCGGUCAUCGAUGGGGAUGCGUUCCAUUAGGUUGUUGGCGGGGUAACGGCCCACCAAGCCUUCGAUGGAUAGGGGUUCUGAGAGGAAGGUCCCCCACAUUGGAACUGAGACACGGUCCAAACUCCUACGGGAGGCAGCAUG
rnacentral:rRNA from 1 species